CAGCCGCCGCGGGAAUACGUAGGGUGCGAGCGUUAAUCGGAAUUACUGGGCGUAAAGCGUGCGCAGGCGGUUAUGCAAGACAGAUGUGAAAUCCCCGGGCUUAACCUGGGAACUGCAUUUGUGACUGCAUGGCUAGAGUGCGGCAGAGGGGGAUGGAAUUCCGCGUGUAGCAGUGAAAUGCGUAGAUAUGCGGAGGAACACCGAUGGCGAAGGCAAUCCCCUGGGCCUGCACUGACGCUCAUGCACGAAAGCGUGGGGAGCAACCAGGAUUAGAGACCCCAGUAGUCCCUGUCUCUUAUAC
rnacentral:rRNA from 1 species